rnacentral:rRNA from 1 species
GCUCAACCGGGGAGGGUCAUUGGAAACUGGGGAACUUGAGUGCAGAAGAGGAGAGUGGAAUUCCACGUGUAGCGGUGAAAUGCGUAGAGAUGUGGAGGAACACCAGUGGCGAAGGCGACUCUCUGGUCUGUAACUGACGCUGAGGCGCGAAAGCGUGGGGAGCGAACAGGAUUAGAUACCCUGGUAGUCCACGCCGUAAACGAUGAGUGCUAAGUGUUAGAGGGUUUCCGCCCUUUAGUGCUGCAGCAAACGCAUUAAGCACUCCGCCUGGGGAGUACGGUCGCAAGACUGAAACUCAAAGGAAUUGACGGGGGCCCGCACAAGCAGUGGAGCAUGUGGUUUAAUUCGAAGCAACGCGAAGAACCUUACCAGGUCUUGACAUCCUUUGACCACCCAAGAGAUUGGGCUUCCCCUUCGGGGGCAAAGUGACAGGUGGUGCAUGGUUGUCGUCAGCUCGUGUCGUGAGAUGUUGGGUUAAGUCCCGCAACGAGCGCAACCCUUGAUCUUAGUUGCCAGCAUUAAGUUGGGCACUCUAAGGUGACUGCCGGUGACAAACCGGAGGAAGGUGGGGAUGACGUCAAAUCAUCAUGCCCCUUAUGACCUGGGCUACACACGUGCUACAAUGGGCAGAACAAAG